rnacentral:tRNA from 1 species
GGGGUUGUGGCUCAGUGGUAGAGCGCUUGCCUAGCACAUGCAAGGCCCUGGGUUCCAUCCUCAGCACCACA